AUGCGUUGCGAAAUCUUUGAAAAAUUUAUGUUUCUUUUGUCCAAAUUGGACGAGAAAGCAUACUAUUGCCUAUUAAUAAUCAUAUACAUAAAAAAAUUAUGUAGAAGCAAUUGAUGGCAUGCAUGAAACACGUGAGAUAAAUAAUUUACUCACUCAUUGAAUGGCAAAAUGUAUUCUGUUUUGUCUCUUGCUACAUACCUCUGUUUUGCCAUUAAUUGCAUGUAUAUCGAUAAAAUUGCUCUCAUCUUAGCUAAUCAAAAUCGAGUAAUUUUCCAUGUAUAUUAUUAUAACAGUAACGCGAUCUAUCAUGUGUAGCCUAUUUAGUAAAAUAACUUAUUUUUAUAGUGAAGACAAACUUCCGAGUUCCGAUCAUUCAUUUUCCAUCAGUUCUGAUCGGAACACAGCGUCCCAGUGCAUCGCUACUAGUUAGCUGUAGCCAAUAAGUUUCUGAAAAAUAUUGUACGAUGAAGCGAACUUAGCGAAGAUAUAUCAUAGAUUGAAACAACUGUCUGAUUUAUAUGGCUUGACAUCCUUAAUAUAGGAUGACCAAAAAAUGUUCCCCACUAUGAAUUGUGGAAAUUUUAUAGCGGCCGGAAUAACUAUCAUAUGGGUUUUAUAUACCAAUGAUCUUUGAAUUGUGAAUAUAACCAAAUGUGAAACCUCCAGAAUCACUACGCGACCGUGCAGUAGCGAGGCUAGACAUGGGAACAGGUCAUGCUAAGCAAAUUUGUAAUGAUUUGCAUUGAGAAGUGAAUUGUCUCUAACCAAUUUUAGUCCGUUUGCUGCGUCCCGUUAUCGUUCACGUUGAUUAAGCAUGUCUUGAAACUGAAAUAUUUUUAACAACGUCUGCGAGCAGGCUAUAAGAUUACCGCUUUACAUCGUUGUUUAAAACAUUCUGAU